UCAAUGAUAGUGUAAGACCCCAAUUUUUACCAUAAUAUCUCUCAUAGCAUCAUAACAUUGCAUUUGCACAGCCUCAAGGAUCAUGAGCAUCUUGGUUCCUUUUGCCUUUGGGUGGGACUCCUUGUAAUUGGUUUGAGAACACCAAGCAUGCUUGAAUUAUACAUCAUUGUUUCUCUUACUUUUGUUUACUAAAAAAAAUAAAAGUAAAAAU
rnacentral:lncRNA from 1 species